GGAAGACUUAAGAUGGCGGCGUUUGCACGGAGUGCAAUCACUGCGUCCUUACGGGGGUUGCAAGGCGUCCGAAGUAUGAGUCCACUAACAAAAGUCCAGAAACUCGCCAGUUAAUAGUAUUGUGUCUCUUCAAAAUAUCGGAGAAUAAUUUCUUUCUCGCUGAUCGCCUAACUUCUACUGACGAAGCUUGGAAGUUGCAGAAGAUGGAGUUCGCUCUUGUUGCCCAGGCUGGAAUGCAAUGGCAUGACCUUGGCUCACUGCAACCUCUGCCUCCCCAGUUCAAGUGGUUCUCCUGCCUCAGCCUCCCGAGUAGCUGAGAUUACAGAAAAGGGGUUUCACCUUUUGGCCAGGCUGAUCUCGAACUUCUGACCUCAAGCAAUCCACCCGCCUUGGCCUCCCAAAGUGCUGGGAUUACAGGCGUGAGCCACUGCGCCCAGCCCAUAUAGAGGUACUGGCUCCUGUAUCACCCAGCUCUGGAGUUGAAAGAGCUCUUCAUUCCUGAGUCUCCUGUACCACUGAGAAUAGGCUGGAGUGCAGUGGCGCAAUCUCGGCUCUCUGCAACCUUCACCUCCCGUGUUCAAGUGAUUCUCCUGCCUCAGCCUCCUGAAUACCUGAGAUUACAAGCAUGAGCCACCGCGUCCAGCAAGAAUAGGUGAUUUUCAAACUUGGAAACAUUCAGAAGUUAUCGCCUCAGUUUCAGAUUGAGUAGUCUCAAAGAGAUUACAGACAUCUACCACAAAUUCUCUACUUGGUGUGGUGCAAAAUCAGUAUGAUGUAAACUUUGUCUCUCAGUUUCUUCAAAGGAAAGAAGCAACUGGAACACACAUAUAACACUAACCCUUCCAGCUGCAUUAUGAGGGACCAGUACCUGUCUCAAGGCAAAAUUAUGACUUAGUUCAUCCUCACCUCUGGAGGCCAGUAAAAGUGGGUUAUAGAAGAACAAAGAGGCAUCUAGAUCUUUCACUGGGUUAUUUGGAGAGAAACAUCUCCUACCGAAGGCCAGUUUAACAAGACUGGUAGAGGAGGUUAUCUUAUCUAAUUCACAGAAAUCAACACAUUGAGUCAAGAAAAAUGAAACACAGAAACACUCUAAAUAAAAGAAGAUAAGUCUUCAGAAACCAACCCUAAUGAAAUGAAGAUAUGUGAUUAACCUGACAGGAAAUUAAAAAGAGCAACCAUAAAGAGUCUCAUGGGAGCAAUGCAUGAACAAACUGAGAAUUUUCAUAAAGAAAUAAAAGAUAACAAAAAGUAUAAAGUUGAAGAAUACAAUAACUGGACUCAAAAAUUUAAUGUGUCCAACAGAAGAAUCGAUGAAGCAGAAGAAAGGGCUAUCAAACUUGUAGAUAGGCCAUUGGAAAUCAUGUAAUGUGAGGAGAAAAAAGAAAAAA
rnacentral:lncRNA from 1 species